UACGUAGGGGGCAAGCGUUGUCCGGAAUUAUUGGGCGUAAAGAGCUCGUAGGCGGUUCGUCGCGUCGGCUGUGAAAACCUGAGGCUCAACCUCAGGCCUGCAGUCGAUACGGGCGGACUUGAGUACUGCAGGGGAGACUGGAAUUCCUGGUGUAGCGGUGAAAUGCGCAGAUAUCAGGAGGAACACCGGUGGCGAAGGCGGGUCUCUGGGCAGUAAACUGAC
rnacentral:rRNA from 1 species